rnacentral:rRNA from 1 species
GGUCCUGGGGGAGAAAGUGGGGGAUCUUCCCACCUCACGCUAUCAGAUGAGCCUAGGUCGGAUUAGCUAGUUGGUGGGGUAAAGGCUCACCAAGGCGACGAUCCGUAACUGGUCUGAGAGGAUGAUCAGUCACACUGGAACUGAGACACGGUCCAGACUCCUACGGGAGGCAGCAGUGGGGAAUAUUGGACAAUGGGCGAAAGCCUGAUCCAGCCAUGCCGCGUGUGUGAAGAAGGUCUUCGGAUUGUAAAGCACUUUAAGUUGGGAGGAAGGGCAGUCAGUUAAUACCUGGUUGUUUUGACGUUACCAACAGAAUAAGCACCGGCUAACUUCGUGCCAGCAGCCGCGGUAAUACGAAGGGUGCAAGCGUUAAUCGGAAUUACUGGGCGUAAAGCGCGCGUAGGUGGUUCAGCAAGUUGGAGGUGAAAUCCCCGGGCUCAACCUGGGAACUGCCUCCAAAACUACUGAGCUAGAGUACGGUAGAGGGUGGUGGAAUUUCCUGUGUAGCGGUGAAAUGCGUAGAUAUAGGAAGGAACACCAGUGGCGAAGGCGACCACCUGGACUGAUACUGACACUGAGGUGCGAAAGCGUGG